UCUUCUUGCUCUGAGUCAGUUCCAGCCUGGAACUGACUCCUGAGAUCAGAAGAGCCAGUUUAUAGAUCUGGGUGGAGCCAGCUGAUCCACCAAGUUCAAGCUGAAUGGUGCCUGCAACUUCUGUGACCAUUUUGCCAUGUUGGGACCAAGUGUGAAUGCAAAGUUUGCACAUAGAGGAGAACUGACCAAUCGGAGAAUGGAAAACUUCUUGAUCAUUGAUGACAGCAGUCAACCAGUGAAGCCAUCAAGCCUGGAGUUUUUCCUACUGCUGGAAUUCUUGUCAUUGCAGAAAAUCAAUGUUGUGUUCUGAUUUGGGGCAUUCUAGCUUGCAAAUAGAGGCAUCUUAGCUGACACCAAAUGCUCCCUAAGGAUAUUCCAAAGAUAAAAUUGAUGUCUUCAUUUUGAAGGGCAUUGAUAAAGUUUUACAUUUGUCUUUAUUGUAGUGAAGAUUUUUAAAUUUAAAAAAUAAUGUCUGAAUUGAUUGAUUAAUUGCUUUAUGCAGG
rnacentral:lncRNA from 1 species